GUGUCAGCAGCCGCGGUAAUACGGAGGGUGCAAGCGUUAUCCGGAUUCACUGGGUUUAAAGGGUGCGUAGGUGGGCUAGUAAGUCCGUGGUGAAAUCCCUGAGCUUAACUUGGGAACUGCCAUUGAUACUAUUAGUCUUGAAUAUCGUGGAGGUAAGCGGAAUAUGUCAUGUAGCGGUGAAAUGCUUAGAUAUGACAUAGAACACCAAUUGCGAAGGCAGCUUGCUACACGGUCAUUGACACUGAGGCACGAAAGCGUGGGGAGCAAACAGGAUUAGAUACCCGCGUAGUCC
rnacentral:rRNA from 1 species